rnacentral:lncRNA from 1 species
AUGGGUGUCUUCACAUACGAAACCGAGUUCACCUCAGUCGUUCCUCCUGCUAGGUUGUUCAAAGCCCUUGUUCUGGAUGCUGACAACCUAGUCCCAAAGAUAGCUCCACAAGCAAUUAAAAGUGCUGAAAUUGUUGAAGGAGAUGGAGGUGUUGGAACCAUCAAGAAGACUAGCUUUGGUGAAGGUUUGAUCACUUUCCACCAUUGUCUGUCUCUCUACUAAUUAACUUGGUUUUCAAGUUAAUAUGCAUCUUGAAAGCACUAGCGUCAUAAUUUCUAAAAAGAUUAACAUUAGCCAUCCUGAAAUUUUCAAAUUACAGGAAGUGAAUACAGCUACGUGAAGCACCAGAUUGACGCGCUUGACAAAGACAACUUUGUGUACAACUACAGUUUGAUUGAAGGAGAUGCUCUUUCAGACAAAAUAGAGAAAAUCUCUUACGAGAUUAAGUUGGUGGCAUCUGCAGAUGGAGGUUCAGUAAUAAAGAACACCAGCAGCUACCACACCAAAGGUGAUGUUGAGAUCAAGGAAGAGCAUGUUAAGGCCGGCAAAGAGAAGGCCCAUGCUUUGUUCAAGAUUAUUGAGACCUAUCUUGUGGCCAACCGUGAUGCCUACAAC